UUUUAAUUGCCUUUUUUAAAAUGAAAAAGCCAGAUUAUUUUAGAGGACUAUUUAUAAUCUUACAAUUAGAAAUAACUAAGACAGUUUAGUACACUGAUUCAUGAGAAAAAAAUCUAACUGUUUUAUUCCUUAUGUAUUGUGCUGCAUCCUAUUCACAGGAUUUAGCUGUAGAAACACACAAGUUAGAGAAGAGAACAACUUAACCAGUCAAGAAUGUGUAGCAACAGAAAAAAACAGCAAAGCCUGUAAAGAAGGAGAAGAAGGAGAGGACACACAUUAAUAACUUUACAUUCUAUCGCUAAUUGCAGUCAUAUUAUCGGUUGAGACAAAGUCCCUAGGAUUUACACUAUUGUAAGAACUUAUUUAAAAAAGUGGAUUUAGAAGACUAUACAUUUAUGUUGGUUUAAUGCCCAAUUUGUUUUAAUAUAUGUUAUGUAAUAAUAAUUGUAAUAUCUGUUAUAUGAUGAUAAUUGGUUUGUUAAUUACUUUUUUUCAAAUCAGUUAUUUUGUGUAACAGCGUGCUGUGUAUUAUAGGAAAAUGAUGUCUUCAGCUGUUACAUAACUAAUUAGUAAUAGAAGGCUUUGAUUUUUUUAUAUCUAGCCUGCUUAUUUUUCAAUUUUGUAGCAACCUACACGUCAACAGCAGAAACAAUUCAAUCAA